AGGAAUGUAUAGAUAGAUUUUCCCUUCAUUAAGAUGUUAUUACAAUGGUUUAUAGACAAUGUUUUCACUUAUCAAAUCAAUAGAUAAAUGUUCCAAUCGAUUGGACAUUUUAAAAAAAUUGUCCAAACUAUUUUGACAGUUCUUGAUUCAACUAGCGCGACCACAAUUUUUUUUUGGGUUGUUUAAUUUGAGAAAUAAAGGAUUUAAAACAUAUUUUAUUGUGUGUGUGCGUGUGUGAUUUAGUCGUACUAAUUUACGAGAAUUCCCUUGUGUUUUUACAAAACAUGGUUCACUCAACAACGACUGAGUGAGCUUUCAUAUUUCCUCUGUUUCACACUUUGAAACUUCAUGAUCUGCUAAAUGAACUAAUCAUAUAAGAAAUUUAUCGUGUCUUAUUGGAGAUGAGGCUUGAGGUUACUUCAAGUUGAAUGUCAUCAUCAAAGGAUGUUUGUAGUGUUCAUAAAACCCUAAUUCGUCUAGUAGAACCGCUUGUCAUACUUGCUUGACUUGACGCAUUAAGUUUUAUUAAAGGUCUCAUCUUCACAAGUGAAAACAAGUUGUCAUUAUCAAACCAUGAUAGUCUUUAACUUUGAUCACUUCUUUAAAUAACAUGAAAAACAUUGUUCCACACACCUACGAGUCAAAGACGUGGUCAUAUACAACAAUUCAAGUUUUUUCCACAUCGAAGUCACAAUCUUCUCGCUUCCAACUUCCCUUAGAAAUUAUCCCUUGAUACACUAGAUAAAGACACUCCUAGACUUAUCCACGAUCUCAGUAGUUUUUUCUUGUAUUACGAAUGCAAGUAUUCAUGCCUCACCCUUCAAUGCUUUGAUACACUUGUCUUAAAUUAAAAUUGCUUGCAUCAUCACUUUCCACAUUGCAAAACCAUUGUCUUUGGAAAAUUUCUCGAUCUCCCAUUUAUCCAUGAUGCUCACUUGUAAGCAAUACCUCUUUGUGCCCACAGCGGGUGCAACUUGUUGUGAAAAAUUGAUAGAACAAUUCAAAGCAUUUCAGAAGAACUACUUUUAGUUUCAACCAAACCAAAGAAUUUGAUUUGGAAAUACAAAAAACAAUGACAACCAAAAGAAACGGUAAAGCAACACAAUAAACUAAAAAAAGUGAAAGCAAAUCCACAUCAAAUUUAAAGAAUAUAAAAGACAAGAAGCAUAAUAACUUGUUUACCCUCUAUCGAUCAAACGAUCUACUAUAAGGAGAGGACAACUCUCUAAUUCACUAUACUUUCAAAAGUUACAAACAAUUAAAAAAGAGUUAUGAGAAAAUAAUAACUCAAAUUUCCAAAAAUAAAUCAUAUUUUCUUAUCAUAAAUAUUUCUCAACCUCUCCAAAAUAUUUAAAAAUGAUUCUCAAUCCCUUUAAAUAUCUUCAAUGAUUUCUUAAAUUCUAAAUAUAUAAUCAUAAUUUUUUUUACUCCUAUCCGUUUUUCAUAGGAUUGUCACCUCCUCUUUUUGUCUUUUAAAGUACAUUUGCAUACGGUUGUCAACUGUGACCCAAAAGAGUUGAAGAUGCAUGUUGACAACCGUUUUUCUUUUAUUCCAAAUUGUAUCCAUACCCUUGUUAUGAAUACCAAGAAUGAAAUGAGUUAAUUUUGUUAGACUAAAGAAAGGUAAUUCAAGUUCAAACAAGCUACAUGACAUGGACUUGUACAACAAAACGUUCUAGCAUCAUAUGUAUAUUAUUCUAUAGCAAAACAAGUCACGAUCAUUUACAUGAAAAUUGUGCACAACAGUGACAUCAUAAACCAAUUAUUAAUUUCAACAAGACAUUGACAGUAUACAGAGGUUUAUGAAUUUGAAAGUAACUAAUGAUGAUGGCCAUCAGGUCCACCAGGACUCAAUCUUUGCUCAUCUCGUUUUCCACCAUUUUCUUCUGCAAUUGAAUCUAUGGAAUUCCAACUCAAUUUAGAAGUUUCUAACAUGUGAUGAUCACUUACCAUUGUUGGAUUCAGAGGCCGUGUCUCACUUCCACCACUUAGAAGCAACACUAACAAAACGCAACACAAAAUUCUCGUUUGGUUGGCCAUUCUAUAUGCGUU
rnacentral:lncRNA from 1 species